UACAGAGGGUGCGAGCGUUGAUCGGAAUUACUGGGCGUAAAGCGUGCGUAGGCGGUUAUUUAAGUCGGGUGUGAAAGCCCCGGGCUCAACCUGGGAAUUGCAUUCGAGACUGAAUAGCUAGGGUACGGUAGAGGGAAGUGGAAUUUCCGGUGUAGCGGUGAAAUGCGUAGAUAUCGGAAGGAACAUCAGUGGCGAAAGCGACUUCCUGGACCAGUACUGACGUUCAGGCACGAAAGCGUGGGGAGCAAACAGG
rnacentral:rRNA from 1 species